rnacentral:rRNA from 1 species
GACGAAUGCUGGCUGCGUGCUUAACACAUGCAAGUCGAACGGUGAAGGGGAGCUUGCUCCCCGGAUCAGUGGCGAACGGGUGAGUAACACGUGGGCAACCUGCCCCUCACUCUGGGAUAACUCCGGGAAACCGGGGCUAAUACCGGAUACGACCGGGAGCGACAUCGCUCCUGGUGGAAAGAACUUCGGUGAGGGAUGGGCCCGCGGCCUAUCAGCUAGUUGGUGGGGUAACGGCCCACCAAGGCGACGACGGGUAGCCGGCCUGAGAGGGCGACCGGCCACACUGGGACUGAGACACGGCCCAGACUCCUACGGGAGGCAGCAGUGGGGAAUAUUGCGCAAUGGGCGAAAGCCUGACGCAGCGACGCAGCGUGAGGGACGAAGGCCUUCGGGUUGUAAACCUCUUUCAGCGGGGACGAAGCGAAAGUGACGGUACCCGCAGAAGAAGCACCGGCUAACUACGUGCCAGCCGCCGCCGUAACAC